GACGAACGCUGGCGGCGUGCUUAACACAUGCAAGUCGAACGGAAAGGCCUGCUUUCUCUUGUGGAUUGCGGGUACUCGAGUGGCGAACGGGUGAGUAACACGUGAGUGAUCUGCCCCCAACUUGGGUAUAAGCCUGGGAAACUAGGUCUAAUUCCCGAUAGGACUGCAGGGUGGUGCCUUGGGUGGCAAACGAUCUUCUAGUGGUUGGGGAUGAGCUCGCGGCCUAUCAGCUUGUUGGGGGGGUAAUGUCCCACCAAGGCGGGGACGGGUAGCCAGACUGAGAGCGGGGACAGCGAAACUGGGACUGGGACACGGCCCCGACGGGAGGGGGAAGUAGGGGAGGGGCAGAAAGGGGCGAAAGCGUGACGCAGCAGCGGCGAGGGAGUGAGGAGGGUGAUGGGAUUGGGAUACUAAGCUCCUAGCGAAGAAGAGGAGGCUACCUGGUUGGACGGGUGGUGACGGUAGCGGAAGAGGAAGCACCGGCUAACUACGUG
rnacentral:rRNA from 1 species